rnacentral:precursor_RNA from 11 species
CGGUACGGCAGCGUGUAGGGUGUCUGUUCACAUCUUACCGGGCAGCAUUAGAUAUUUUUGAAAUACUUCUAAUACUGUCAGGUAAAGAUGUCGUCCGAACCCAAUUACAUCGGAUUCGGUUG